CACCUCCUGUUCCACAGCACUUCCUGUUCACAGCACUUCCUGUUCACAGCACUUCCUGUUCACAGCACGCUGACAGGAAGUUAAUCUGGGAGCCAGGAAGUUAACAUCUCACAGUAGAACCCAGUAGAGUCAGUGUUCUGACAGUAGAACUCAGUAUUCUGACAGUAGAAUUCAGUAGAGUCAGCGUUCUGACAGUAGAACUCAGUAUUCUGACAGUAGAACUCAGUGGAGUCAGUGUUCUGACAGUAGAGACAGUGUUCUGACAACAGAACUCAGUAGAGUCAAUGUUCUGACAGUAGAACUCAGUAGAGUCAAUGUUCUGCCGGUAGAACUCAGUGUUCUGCCAGUAGAACUCAGUAGAGUCAGUGUUCUGACAGUAGAACUCAAUAUUCUGACAGUAGAAUUCAGUAGACUCAGUAUUCUGCCAGUAGAACUCAGUAGAGUCAGUGUUCUGACAGUAGAACUCGGUAUUCUGACAGUAGAACCCAGUAGAGUCAAUGUUCUGCCAGUAGAACUCAGUAUUCUGACAGUAGAACUCAGUAGACAGAGACAAUGUUCUGCCAGUAGAACUCUGUAGAGUCAGUGUUCUGACAGUAGAGUCAGUGUUCUGACAGUAGAACUCAGUAGAGUCAAUGCUCUGACAGUAGAACUCAGUAGAGUCAAUGUUCUGCCAGUAGAACUCAGUAUUCUGACAGUAGAACUCAGUAGAGUCAGAGUUCUGACAGUAGAACUCAGUAGAGUCAGUGUUUUGCCAGUAGAACUCAGCAGAGACAAUGUUCUGCCAGUAGAACUCUGUAGAGUCAGUGUUCUGACAGUAGAGUCAGUGUUCUGACAGUAGAACUCAGUAGAGUCAAUGCUCUGACAGUAGAACUCAGUAGAGUCGGUGUUCUGCCAGAAGAACUCAGUGUUCUGCCAGUACAACUCAGUAUUUUGACAGUAGAACUCAGUAGAGUCAAUGUUCUGACCGUAGAACUCAGUAUUGUGACAGGAGAACUCAGUAGAGUCAGUGUUCUGACAGUAUAACUCAGUAUUCUGCCAGUAGAACCCAGUAGAGUCAAUGUUCUGCCAGUAGAACUCAGUAUUCUGACAGUAGAACUCAGUAGAGUCAAUGUUCUGACCGUAGAACUCAGUAGAGUCAGACUUCUGACAGUAGAACUCAGUAGAGUCAGUGUUCUGCCAGUAGAACUCAGUAGAGACAAUGUUCUGCCAGUAGAACUCUGUAGAGUCAGUGUGUGUGUG